rnacentral:rRNA from 1 species
GAGUGGCGGAAGGGCGAGUAAUGUAUGGAUAACGUACCCCAGGCACCGGGAUAGCAGCGGGAAACUGUUGGUAAUACCGGAUGAUGUUCCAAACCCCUUGGGGCUUGGAAUCAAAGGAUGGCCUCUACUUGUAAGCUAUCGGCGUGGGAGCGGUCCAUAUCCUAUCAGCUAGUUGGCGGGGUAACGGCCCACCAAGGCAACGACGGGUAGCGGGACUGAGAGGUUGACCCGCCGCAUUGGGACUGAGACACUGCCCAGACUCCUACGGGAGGCUGCAGUAACGAAUAUUGGACAAUGAGCGAAAGCUUGAUCCAGCGACGCCGCGUGCAGGAAGAAGUCCUUCGGGAUGUAAACUGCUGUCAGGGACCACCAAGCAAGGAAGGUUAAUACCCUUCUGCGUUGAGGACUCCCAGAGGAAGCCACGGCUAACUUCGUGCCAGCAGCCGCGGUAAUACGAAGGUGGCGAGCGUUGUUCGGAAUCACUGGGCUUAAAGCGUGUGUAGGCGGACUGUCAAGCGUUUUGUGAAAGCCCUCGGCUUAACCGGGGAAUUGCUUGACGAACUGAUAGUCUUGAGGCAGGUAGGGGCAACUGGAACUCUUGGUGGAGCGGUGGAAUGCGUAGAUAUCAAGAGGAACGCCAGAGGCGAAGGCGAGUUGCUGGGCCUGUCCUGACGCUGAGACACGAAAGCCAGGGGAGCGAACGGGAUUAGAUACCCCGGUAGUCCUGGCCCUAAACGAUGUCCACUAGAUCGGAGGCACUCUGACGUGUUACUGGUCGAAAUGAAAACGGUAAGUGGAACGCCUGGGGAGUACAGGUCGCAAAGGCUAAAACUCAAAGGAAUUGACGGGGGCUCACACAAGCGGUGGGAGCAUGUUGCUUAAUUCGAUGCAACGCGGAAGAACCUUAUCCUAGGCUUGACAUAUACGAAUGCCUACUGGGAAAACCAGGUCGGCUGCCCUUCGGGGUGAAACGUAUACAGGUGCUGCAUGGCUGUCGUCAGCUCGCGUCGUGAGAUGUUGGGUUAAGUCCCGUAACGAGCGAAACCCUUGUCGUUAGUUGCCAGCGCGUAAUGGCGGGGACUCUAACGAGACUGCCGGUGUUAAACCGGAGGAAGGUGGGGAUGACGUCAAGUCCUCAUGGCCUUUAUGCCUAGGGCUGCAAACGUGCUACAAUGGCCGGUACAAAACGAAGCGAGACCGCGAGGUGGAGCAAAUCGUAAAAAACCGGCCCCAGUUCGGAUUGGAGUCUGCAACUCGACUCCAUGAAGUUGGA